CUACGGGGGGCACCAGUCGCGAAACUUCUACAAUGCUCGCAAGAGUGAUAGGGGGAUUCGGAGUGGUUUAGCUUCGGCUGAGCCUUUUGUCAAGAGUAAAUAGCUUGGCGAAUAAGGGGUGGGUAACACGGGUGCCAGCCGCCGCGGUAAUACCCGGGCCCCAAGUGAUGACCACGUUUAUUGGGCUUAAAGCGUUCGUAGCCGGUUUGCAAAGUUCUUGAUGAAAUACCAUAGAUGACUAUGGUGCUUGUCAGGAAAACUAGCAAACUUGAGACCGGGAGAGGCUAAUAGUAUUCCUAGGGUAAGGGUAAAAUCUUCUAAUCCUAGGAGGACUACCUGUGGCGAAGGCGAUUAGCUAGAACGGAUCUGACGGUGAGGGACGAAAGCCAGGGGAGCAAAAGGGAUUAGAUACCCCGGUAGUC
rnacentral:rRNA from 1 species